rnacentral:rRNA from 1 species
UAGAGGCUUCGGCAAUGGGGGCAACCCUGACCGAGCGACGCCGCGUGUGGGAUUGGAGGCCUUCGGGUCGUAAACCACUGUCAUUGGGAAAGAAUGCCCGGAUGGCGAAUCCGGGAGAGACGGUACCCAAGGAGGAAGCCCCGGCUAACUCCGUGCCAGCAGCCGCGGUAAUACGGAGGGGGCAAGCGUUGUUCGGAUUUACUGGGCGUAAAGGGUGUGUAGGCGGCCAUGCAAGUCUGGUGUGAAAUCUUCACCGCUCACCGGGAAGGAGUCACUGGAUACUGCAUGGCUCGAGUAUGGUAGAGGCGAGCGGAAUUCCAGGUGUAGCGGUGGAAUGUGUAGAUAUCUGGAAGAACACCGGUGGCGAAGGCGGCUCGCUGGGCCAUCACUGACGCUGAGACACGAAAGCGUGGGGAGCAAACG